GCGGAUGACGGGAGCUUGCUCCUUGAUUCAGCGGCGGACGGGUGAGUAAUGCCUAGGAAUCUGCCUGGUAGUGGGGGACAACGUUUCGAAAGGAACGCUAAUACCGCAUACGUCCUACGGGAGAAAGCAGGGGACCUUCGGGCCUUGCGCUAUCAGAUGAGCCUAGGUCGGAUUAGCUUGUUGGUGAGGUAAUGGCUCACCAAGGCGACGAUCCGUAACUGGUCUGAGAGGAUGAUCAGUCACACUGGAACUGAGACACGGUCCAGACUCCUACGGGAGGCAGCAGUGGGGAAUAUUGGACAAUGGGCGAAAGCCUGAUCCAGCCAUGCCGCGUGUGUGAAGAAGGUCUUCGGAUUGUAAAGCACUUUAAGUUGGGAGGAAGGGUUGUAGAUUAAUACUCUGCAAUUUUGACGUUACCGACAGAAUAAGCACCGGCUAACUCUGUGCCAGCAGCCGCGGUAAUACAGAGGGUGCAAGCGUUAAUCGGAAUUACUGGGCGUAAAGCGCGCGUAGGUGGUUUGUUAAGUUGGAUGUGAAAGCCCCGGGCUCAACCUGGGAACUGCAUCCAAAACUGGCAAGCUAGAGUACGGUAGAGGGUGGUGGAAUUUCCUGUGUAGCGGUGAAAUGCGUAGAUAUAGGAAGGAACACCAGUGGCGAAGGCGACCACCUGGACUGAUACUGACACUGAGGUGCGAAAGCGUGGGGAGCAAACAGGAUUAGAUACCCUGGUAGUCCACGCCGUAAACGAUGUCAACUAGCCGUUGGAAUCCUUGAGAUUUUAGUGGCGCAGCUAACGCAUUAAGUUGACCGCCUGGGGAGUACGGCCGCAAGGUUAAAACUCAAAUGAAUUGACGGGGGCCCGCA
rnacentral:rRNA from 1 species